GCAAACCGACCAUGUACAUGUAUUUUGAGAAACACCAAAAUUAUCAAAGAGAGCACCUCCAAGCUAUUGAGGCUUCACGAACAAAGGACGUAAGUACAAAGAUGGAGACUACAAAGGCAUGCAUUUAAUCCACUAAACUAUUGCAAUAUCCUAAUUUUAUUUUACAAAAAAUACAAAAACAAUGGAACAAACAAAAUCAAGACGUUUGGUAAUAUCAAGCUACCGAGAGACAUAAUAAUUAAACAUAAAUAAUGAAGUACAAAAGCAAAAAAAAAAAAAUUUAAUUAAGGCUUGCUCUUCUGAGUAUAGAUAUAGUCUAUGUGAGCGGCAAGUGUUCUUCUCAUCAAACAAUCAUCUCCUUCAACUCCAUCACAGCUAUCCUCCACCGUCUGAUCAACUUUCUUUGUUGCUUCUUCAACGUCCUUCAUGAUCAUCAAACCAUGCAACAAAAGAUUAAUAUACACAAGACAAAAAGAUAACCCACAUCAAAACAAAGUGAACAUACAUGUUUCAUGCAUGAAAUGAAGAAAAUUAACGUACCCCAUGUAGGUUUUUCAAUGGAGUAACAUCGGGAAAUGCCGGUUCUGGCCUUAUGGCAGAGGCUUGUGAUGAGAAGAAGAAGAAGAAGACAAGGGCUAUGAUCAAGCAAAGAGUGGUGGCUUU
rnacentral:lncRNA from 1 species